UUCCAGACUCCUACGGGAGGCAGCAGUGAGGAAUAUUGGUCAAUGGCCGAAGGGCUGAACCAGCCAAGCCGCGUGAAGGAAUAAGGCCCUACGGGUCGUAAACUUCUUUAGUCAGGGAACAAAGGGAGCCACGCGUGGCGCUGUGAGUGUACCUGAAGAAUAAGCAUCGGCUAACUCCGUGCCAGCAGCCGCGGUAAUACGGAGGAUGCGAGCGUUAUCCGGAUUUAUUGGGUUUAAAGGGUGCGCAGGCGGAAUGUCAAGUCAGCGGUAAAAUUUCGGGGCUCAACCCCGUCGUGCCGUUGAAACUGGCGUUCUUGAGUGAGCGAGAAGUAUGCGGAAUGCGUGGUGUAGCGGUGAAAUGCAUAGAUAUCACGCAGAACUCCGAUUGCGAAGGCAGCAUACCGGCGCUCAACUGACGCUCAUGCACGAAAGCGUGGGUAUCGAACAGGAUUAGAUACCCUUGUAGUA
rnacentral:rRNA from 1 species